rnacentral:lncRNA from 1 species
CUGUUACCUCCCUAGUCUCAAUCCAUAGCUGUUCCUCUCCCUCCCCUUUUCUGAGCCUCAGUUUUCUCACUUGCAACUCAGGAUAUAACAGAGAAACUGCCAUUGGUUAAGCAUUUAGUAUGUUAAGGCAUGUGCUAAGCCCUCUACCCCCAUCACCUGCUUUUCUGCUCCCAGCCCCUCCCUGAUACAGGGAUUACUCAGAGCUGAUGCACCUAGAGGUCUGGGCUCCAUGUCUGCACAUGGUAGAAGCCCAGCUAAUGUCUUUAUUUUCCUGACUCUGCUUUCAGGAGCCACCGCAACAGAACAGGAGGAGAAAGUACAUCCCAUAACCAGGAGUUAAGCCACCUUCCUCUGGGGCCAGUGAACACAUGCAAGGUGAGGAGAGGUCCUAGGAAGUCAGAGGGAGGAGAGGAGCUCAAGUCUUCCAGAUGUUUCAUUGUGGAGCAUCAACUUGUCCCUCCUGCAGAUAUGGAUGACCCCUCAUGGUCGGCUACAGAUUUCCCAUGAUGAAAACACUGAUAUUUUAGCCAUCCAAUCCAUCAAAAUAUAUUCAUGGAACACUGUUAAGAAAUUUAAGAAUCCUGGGACUCCUAGAGUCAAGUCAGAUGAAAUCUCCUGUAAGUGAUUCAAACAUACCUGGAGAGAAAAAUCUGAGGCUCUAUAACAACAGAAAAAGGAUCCCAAGCUAGUAGGGAACCAGUGGCUGGAUGGCAUAACCCUAGCUCUGCAAGAGAUCUCCAGGCUCAGGAAGCUGCUAUUAAAGACAUUCCACUAUUUUUUCCCCUCCCCCCAAAAAUCUUCCUAUUGGAAACUAUUACUGAGCUUUUUCCAUUUGGAAAACAUUGACACAUCUUCUAGGAGAUGUUGAAGCCUGAACACACACAGAAGGCAGCCCCACUAUUUCUUCCCAGAGAGGAGAUGAGUGUGGAUUUGUCCCAAAGACCACUGAGUGGAGAGGAUUUUUUUUUUUUUUUUUUUUUUUUUGUGGGCAGAAGGUAGAGACACAUUGGUUUCUGGAGGUCAUUAAGCCAUCUUUGAGUUAAGGAGCCAUCCUUAUGCCCCCUCCUUCCCUGGAUGGACUGAGUGGACAAGGGUUGCACUCAACAAUCUGCCUCCUGCCCUUCUCCUCCCACUCAACCACCACUAUCUUAUACUCUGCUGCUUCCAGAAGUUAGACGUCC